UUAAAGAGUUCUAUAACUCCCAAACCCAUGUGAACAUACCUAACGUUGCCUCGGCAGGUCGCACCUACCUUGUAGCACCCUACCCUGUAGGGCCUACCCGGGAGGUGCGGGUAAGCCUGCCGGCGGCCCACCAAACUCUGUUUGAUAUUGAAUUCUGAACCUAUAACUAAAUAAGUUAAAACUUUCAACAACGGAUCUCUUGGUUCUGGCAUCGAUGAAGAACGCAGCGAAAUGCGAUAAGUAAUGUGAAUUGCAGAAUUCAGUGAAUCAUCGAAUCUUUGAACGCAUAUUGCGCCCAUUAGUAUUCUAGUGGGCAGGACCGUUCGAGCGUCAUUUCAACCCUUAAGCCUUCGUUGCUUAGUGUUGGGAGCCUACGGCAACGUAGCUCCUCAAAGUUAGUGGCGGAGUUGGUUCACACUCUAGACGUAGUAAUUUUUUAUCUCGCCUAUUAGUUGGACUAAUCCCCUGCCGUAAAACCCCUAAUUUAUCAAGGUUGACCUCGAAUCGGUUCAGACAAACUCGCUAAAUUGAAGCAUCUUAGUCAGCGAAGGAAAAGAAACCAACAGGGAUUGCCCUAGUAACGGCGAGUGAAGCGGCAACAGCUCAAAUUUGAAAUCUGGCCCUCGGGUCCGAGUUGUAA
rnacentral:rRNA from 1 species